rnacentral:piRNA from 1 species
GAGACCUCAAUUUUAGGCUCAUGUGUGG